rnacentral:rRNA from 1 species
AUGGUGGCAUGCGCCGAAGGUCUAGGUGUGCCCCGUGGAUCCCCGAUGUUCAGACAUGCGCUACGUGCUGUUGCAUUCCUCAGCGAGGAGAAACUCACCACCAAGCUAGAGCACUUGAAGAAAAUGUUCAGGUUGUCAGAUGCCGAGGUGGGCAUUGUUAUUUCUAAGGCUCCAGCAGUGCUGCUGAAGACUAAAGAAUCGCUGCAGCGCAGGUCCGAGUUCCUCAUGUCCGAGGUGGGCUUGGAACCGACAUACAUUGCUUAUCGGCCAGCAAUGCUCAUGUACAGCUUGGAGGGCAGGAUCAGACCCCGAUACUACGUUGUAAAGUUUCUCAAGCAAAAUGGAUUGAUAGAUCAUGACCGGGACUUCUUUAAUACAGUCAUGGUCAGCGAGAAGGUAUUUAUGGAAAGGUUCAUAUGCCCUCACAAGAAAGCUGCACCGCAUCUCGCUGAAGACUACGCAACUGCUUGCAGAGGGGAAGUUCCUGCCAGAUUCAGUUUUACGUGA